UCAAUUAUGAAAGGAGGUAAAUCAAAGGCUGAAACCAGGAGCUCCAAGCUCUCUGUGACUAAGAAGCCUGCUAAAGGAGGAGCUCGUGGCAAAGCAGCUGCCAAGGAUCCAAACAAACCAAA